ACUUGAGCUGCAGAAGAUGAACAAUGCGAAGUAUUUAAUUGAAAGAUGAAAAAUGCAAUCUGUAGAUGGACUUGCAGUUUGUCAGAUCAAACAAGCAGGUUACCUCAUCUUCAGGUGUAUGGACAACUAUAUUAACACAGAGCUUCUGUGUUCCAUGGGACACCGUCUUGGGCAUCGGCCACAAGUCGAUGUUGUCAGCGGCGAUGCAGGAUCCAAUCGCCAGAAAUGCUAGCAGCAGCCUCAGAGCCGGUGCCAUCUUUGCAGAGUGGUGACACAAUCUUUUCUUGGCAAGCUCGAAUGGCCAGCCUCACCUCAGAGAAAAAGAAAUGAUGGAAAAAAGAGAAGUCGCAAGGAAGAAUGCAGCAAUCUGCAAGCGCAAGGCAAGUACCUUUUCUCUCUCCUCCUCCAGCUGUCUGGAAGAGAACCAAUGGGAAAGCAAGUUGAACUCCUAUCUUAGGAUGAAGACGAGCGACGAGGAGGUAUAUGAGGAGGAGGGCCACCACGGGCAUUGCAGACUGGGGUCGAGGAGUGGUUAGAUGGAGGGAAGAAAAGGCAUGCACAGGCACUGGUCUGGUGCACUUCGGUGACCCAGAACAGGCCAGUACGGAUGGCCAGGCAAUCAGCUCAGCUCACUUAUGCUAAUUUUGAUCGCUGUGGCUGCUGUUGGCCUGUUGUGCUGGCAAGAUGGUGGGAGCGGG